rnacentral:rRNA from 1 species
ACGUCUCAGUUCGGAUUGCAGGCUGCAACUCGCCUGCAUGAAGUCGGAAUUGCUAGUAAUCGCAGAUCAGCAUGCUGCGGUGAAUACGUUCCCGGGCCUUGUACACACCGCCCGUCACACCAUGGGAGUCGGUAACACCCGAAGUCGGUAGCCUAACCGUAAGGAGGGCGCCGCCGAAGGUGGGAUUGAUGACUGGGGUGAAGUCGUAACAAGGUAUC